UAACGCAAUAAGCAAUUGUAUCCAUAAAUCAUUAUCAUCACAUUAUUUAGGUUUUUUUUCACAGUAAACCCUCUCUAUACCCCAGAGAGACGGGAAUGCUGUGUGAAUGUAUAAUUGAUGUUGUCCUCCUCAGUAUUCUGCAGUGAGUCUCUGCACACUGACUGUCAUCAUCAUGGAGGCUCUGCAGCAGUGAGCAGCACAACACCGGACAGCUCCAUCUUCUUUUAGCCUAUACUCCUCUCACAUCGGUGAUCUCUCUGCAGAAACACCACCGAAAACACCAAGAUGAAGCAUUUUCUGAGGGUGGUGACACAGUUCUUCGUCUUCCUGUACUGUAAGUGUUUGUGGCGAGGACUGAAGUUCAUCACCAGGAAGCUAACGGGUCGCUGCGAGCUGCAGAGGAUCUGUUACAACAACAAGCAUGGAGCCCGCAGGACCCUGAAGAU